UGUAUUAUUUAACUCACUAUGUUCUUAUCAAAGAACUAAACAAAUUAUUAGAAAAAUAUUCUUAUAGUUAUCCUUGCAAUUAUAUUAUAUUAUAAGUAUAUUUUCUACUGUUCAAAUUGAUUGAAAGUGUACUCCGAAAGUAGUGUAAUGUUUGUAGAUUAUCAUUUUAUUAACUGAGUUCAGUUACAUUUUAUCACUUUGAUCUGUUGUGACAUCAGUCAAAAAUCUACUUUGUGGGAUGCUGAGUGAGACGAAAUCUUGCAAGGAGCCACUCUAAAGUUUGAAAGGGACCUAUGUAUAUCCAAAAAUCUUUGCUUGGCAGUAAAUUUGUUCUCAUUACUUAAAAAUCACAUUUUCUAUCUGUAAGAUUGAUAGUUUUAGGAAACUGAUACACGUACACCAUUGUUUCUCGAGCAAUGAGUGAGAAAUUUGUUGUUGGAGCAUCAAAUUUCAAAUGGUAAUGAUCAACUUGAUUCAAGUUUCAAAUGGUAUCUAAAAUUUGGCCGCAUUACAUAAUUGCGGAUUACAAAUUACCAUAACAAUUGUAAUGAUCAACUUUGUGGAGCUCCUCGCUUGGCUAGAUAAAGAUAAUUCCACCCUAGAACUAAAACAACUAUAUAAGCACACACUUCUUCACAAAGCAAGCUCUUCAGGUCCUGACUUGCUGGUCCAGUUAUCCUGUCACAUUAUUAAUGAUAUUACCAAUCAGUGAACUGCUAAUCGAUGAGGGAGGCCAAUUACUUUUGGUGUGAAAUUUUAGAUGAUCUAUAGAUAUGACUUGUUAUUCAAAGACAGGUAGACAAUGCUCUUGAACAGUGGUUGAAACUACAGGUCUGUUUGCUUUUCAAACAUUGUUGAAUACUUUUAGAAUUUCGUCUUUUGAAUUUGGAGGUUUUCAAUCAUCCUAAAAUGGAAGUGGACAUAGGAGUUCAAGGAUGUGGUAUCAGUUUUGCGUCAAACUGUGGUUUCAUUGAAAACUAACACUGCAGAUGUUGUCCAUUUGCAGAAUUAUCUUGCCCAUCUACCUUGCUAUUAAUCAGUGUUGUCAACUACUUUUCCUGUUUUUAUUUAUUUAUUUAUUAUUCUGAUACAUUCAACUGGUUUUAUUGAGUCGUUUGAUAUUGCUCUAAGUUGUUUUGGGCCAAUUUGUAUUGCCUCCUUACUGUUGGAUUAAGCCAGAACAUUUUGGGAAAGGUUUAUGCAAUGAAUAAUGAAUAGAAAAAUGUAAACAAAAGCAAAAAGUGGGGGAAAACAAGAAGAAGAAGAAGAAGAAGAAGAAAAAAACCCUCAGAUAAUCAAUGGUCUAUCUUUUCACUUAAUUCAUGGAUUUAGAGGGACAUCCUUCUCUUUUUUACUUUUCAUUUCAUUUUGUUUCAUUCUUUAUUUCCUGAUAAGUUAAGGAAUACGCCUCUGUUAUCAACUGAAAUCAUAAAGAGCAGGUGUUGAGGAGCGGUGGUCCACUUCUCUACAAAUGCUCAUUUUUUUGACAUGGGAAUUUAUGCUAUGAUCAAUUGGGAUCACCCGUUGUAUUACAGUUUGCGCCAUUCAUGACAAUCCGUCUUUUCUUCCUUAUUGUCAACCUGUCUUUGUUAUUCUUUUUUCUCCUAUGGGAGAUGAAUUGAAGCAAGUUCUCUGCAGUGUUCAUUAUACCCUAUGACAUCCAAUGCUGUGGUUUUUGUUUGAAUUAUGUGCUUCGAGUUUUAGUUUUCUGACAUGAUUCAUUUUGUGGCACCUCGCUUUUGUAGGUUUAUCAUAACAAAUAAUGGAUCUGGGCACCGUGUAGCUGGUUUGAGGUAAGAUAGAUCACCCCAUGAUUUUUAUGAUAGAAUCACUGUUGAUGUCUCAUUUUUUUAGGUGUGAAAGCACUCAUGUUAUGCAGAAGUCCUUACAAACAAGCUUUAGCCCUACAAGGAAAGAUUAUAAAAGGAUAGUGAAGAAGUAAACUCUAAACAGUCAAAAUAUUACUCUCUCUCUCUCUGAGGCUACUCUUGUCCCUCAAUAAUGUAGCCUGCUAUUUGUCGAGGAAGAACAUACUACAAAAAAAUUUAGUCAAAAAAAGAAAUAGGAGGAGUUCCAUAUGCUUUAUGAUUUUUUGUUUGUUUAAAAAAAUCUCUGUUCUUUUAAAUUCUUUCUUCUUUGGGCGGGGGAACAACAGUGGGCAUUAAUCUGUCUGCUUAGGUACAAGGAGUAUCAACUUCAAGACUACAUAUCAUGUUUUCUAAAACAGGUACACAUUGAUCAUUAUAUGUGUUUAGCAGUUUAGAGCAUCGAUGCGAGAAUACCAUUUUUUGGUUGGUUUUUUAAUCUUGCUUCUUUCUUCCAACUAAACAACACCCAUUACUGGGAGCGCUUAAGGAGUUGUCUCGUGAUAUCUGAUGACUGUAAUAACCUGUCCAAAAAAUAUAAGGUCCAUUUUGCGACUUUAAACUCUCAUUUCUCGUCUGUUUCGUAUGAAUUAAUGGUAAAGUUUUCACCUCUCAUUGCAGACUCUUAAACAAUACAAACUGGCAAAACUAACCCCCAUUGCUGGUAGUUGUCGACCUCCCUUAUCCUUUCUCUUCUUCUGAAUAAUUACAUUUUGGUCUCUCUCUCUCUCUCACACAUUAUUUUCUUUUCCUUUUCUUCUGGGUCUCAAUUCCUUAUUAACUGUGGUUAUCCUGCUAUUAAUGCUUCAUACUACGACUUGAGCUUUCUCCCAAUCAGUUCCAACAAGGAUUGCAAAAUUUACAAAAGUUCCAAGGCAAUCAAGUGCUACAAUUGUGAUUUCUGCUAGUAAACAUUACUACUUUCCCAUCUUCUCCCUCUACUACCUCUGUUAUAUGAAAUUUGCAUUUCCCUUUUCUUUUCCUGUAUUUCAUGCUUCCAGGGCAGGAGUUGCACAAUACAUGAAAACUGAAUGGAGGGUGGUUUCAAUCUUUGAUGUGGUUCUGUUUGUUAUUUUGUCAAUAAUCUACUUUGUGGGAUGCUGAGUGAGACAAAAUGCUGCAAGGAGCUACUCCAAAGUUUGAAAGGGACCUAUGUAUCUCCAAGUCUUUGUUCGGCAGUAAAUUUGUUCAUAUUACUUAAAAAUCACAUUUUCUAUCUGUAAAAUUGAUAGUUUUAGACAAACAGAUACACAUACACCAUUGUUUCUCAAGCAAUGAGUGAGAAAUUUGUUGCUGGGGCAUCUCUUUUUCUGCAGUAUUACAACUGUGUAAAGGUUUUAUCAUUUGUGUGCUUGUGUUAGAGAAUGCAAGAAAAAAUGUUGUAU